rnacentral:rRNA from 1 species
AGGACGAACGCUGGCGGCGUGCUUAACACAUGCAAGUCGAGCGAGGCUCUCCUUCGGGAGAUGUCCUAGCGGCGAACGGGUGAGUAACACGUGGGCAACCUGCCUCUAGCUCUGGGAUAACUCCGGGAAACCGGGGCUAAUACCGGAUACGACCUCGAGCGGCAUCUAUCGAGGUGGAAAGUUUUCGGCUAGAGAUGGGCCCGCGGCCUAUCAGCUUGUUGGUGAGGUAACGGCCCACCAAGGCGACGACGGGUA